GCUCUCGGGUGACGAGUGGCGGACGGGUGAGUAAUGUCUGGGAAACUGCCCGAUGGAGGGGGAUAACUACUGGAAACGGUAGCUAAUACCGCAUAAUGUCGCAAGACCAAAGAGGGGGACCUUCGGGCCUCUUGCCAUCGGAUGUGCCCAGAUGGGAUUAGCUUGUAGGUGAGGUAACGGCUCACCUAGGCGACGAUCCCUAGCUGGUCUGAGAGGAUGACCAGCCACACUGGAACUGAGACACGGUCCAGACUCCUACGGGAGGCAGCAGUGGGGAAUAUUGCACAAUGGGCGCAAGCCUGAUGCAGCCAUGCCGCGUGUAUGAAGAAGGCCUUCGGGUUGUAAAGUACUUUCAGCGGGGAGGAAGGGAGUGAGGUUAAUAACCUUAUUCAUUGACGUUACCCGCAGAAGAAGCACCGGCUAACUCCGUGCCAGCAGCCGCGGUAAUACGGAGGGUGCAAGCGUUAAUCGGAAUUACUGGGCGUAAAGCGCACGCAGGCGGUCUGUCAAGUCGGAUGUG
rnacentral:rRNA from 1 species